CGGGUGAGUAACACGUGGAUAACCUACAUAUAAGACUGGGAUAACUUCGGGAAACCGGAGCUAAUACCGGAUAAUAUUUUGAACCGCAUGGUUCAAAAGUGAAAGACGGUCUUGCUGUCACUUAUAGAUGGAUCCGCGCUGCAUUAGCUAGUUGGUAAGGUAACGGCUUACCAAGGCAACGAUGCAUAGCCGACCUGAGAGGGUGAUCGGCCACACUGGAACUGAGACACGGUCCAG
rnacentral:rRNA from 1 species